AUUUAGUUGGGAUUUGGUUUAGGAUUUAGUUGGGAUUUGGUUUAGGAUUUAGGAUUUGGUUAGAAUUUGAUUUAGGGUUUAGAGUUUGAUUAGGAUUUCAUUUAGGAUUUGGUUAGGGUUUGAUUUAGGAUUUGAUUUAGGAUUUGAUUAGGAUUUGAUUUAGGAUUUAGGAUUUGGUUUAAGGAUUAGAAUUUGGUUAGGAUUUGAUUUAGGGUUAGGAUUUGGUUAGGGUUUGAUUUAGGAUUUAGAAUUUGGUUAGGAUUUGAUUUAGGAUUUGAUUAGAAUUUGGUUUAGGAUUUAGGAUUUGAUUUAAGGUUUAAAGUUUGAUUAAGAUUUGAUUUAGGAUUUGAUUAAGAUUUGAUUUAGGGUUUAGGAUUUGAUUCAAUGUCUAGGAUUUGGUUUAGGAUUUAGGAUUUGAUUUAAGAUUUAAGGUUUAGUUAGGAUUUGAUUUAGGAUUUAGGAUUUUAUUAGGAUUUUUUUAAGGUUUAAAAUUUAAUUAUUUUUGGCCUAAAGUUUGAAUGAAGUCCAAUAGGAUUUUAACUAGGAUUAAAUUAAGAUUGAAUUGAGAUGUAUUUGAGAUAUAUUUGUGAUCAAUUUAAUAUUUCUUUAAGAUUUCUUAUUGUUUCUUUGAAAUUUCUUUGAGGUUUUUUUGAAUUUUAUUAAAGCUUGCUUAGCAUUAUUGUGGUCUAAUUAGAAUUUAGUUAGUAUUCUAUUAGAGUUAGAAAUUUGUUGUUGCAAUUUCUAUUCUACCUUCCAUAGCGAGGUGCCCGGAGCAUUCUCAAGCAAGACUUCACAUAUUACAACAAUAUUCUAAAAAUUUAAGAUAGGAAGAUGCAUGUCAAUGGCUCUUCAACAUAUGACAAUACUUCCAACUAUUUGAGGUAAAUACUAUUAAAGGAAUUAUAUAUAUAAUAAGCUAUUUAAGAGAU
rnacentral:lncRNA from 1 species